rnacentral:lncRNA from 1 species
GGCCUCUAACCACAAUGGGAGGCACCUGAGAUUAGAGGUGUCUGACCCUUUAAAUGCUGGAAGCCUGAGUUAUGGGGUUGUUGUUGUUCCUCUUUCUCCUCUUUUUUCCUUUCCUGUUUUGCCUGUUUCUGCUGCUACCAUUCUGUGAUCUUCAAUAAACAUAGCUGCUUACUACAUACCACAAGGUGUUUGUUUGACAAUUCUUUCCUCGUGGUACACAAGAGCCUGGACUAUUUUUGGCCCAUUUAACAGGAUUACGAAUGAGUCCAACUUAACAUUCUUCUGGAACAGAACUCGUUGGUAAGUCAGGACUUACUUACCUUUGUAAAUAUUCCCUUCUUGAAAAGUCUAUCAGAAAUCUCAGAUCACCACUUACUCAUACAACAAGUAGCAAAAUUCAUAUUGUACUGCUCUUAAAGUCAGAGUGACUGGACUCUAGGGCUUGGAGCAACCACUUUUCUGUGCAGCUAUGAAGAAAUCAGGGGUCCAUUCCAACUAAAAACUCGUGAAGAACUCAAAGAAAAAAUUUACACCUCCCCCCUUUUCAGGUAUGUCCAAAGGAAGAGAUGAAUUAAAGCCCCCCAAGGAGAUAAUACUCAGGCCCAAAGGACAUGGGAGCUACUUUGCAAUCUAGUCCUCUUAUUGACCUUCUAAUGUGAAGAAUCAAGAACAAUUAGGAAUGAACAACAUUCUGUUCUUGGCCAUGUGGAAGACAUUGAAUCACUGCUAGCCAAGUCCUGGAACAAUCCCCACUCUUUGGUGAUUCAAAUGUACCUACAAUUACAACUGCUCCCAGUGCAGUGGUAGGGGCCUCCAGGCUGCUGUUCCACCCCUCCUGGUGCAGAGGAAUGGGCCCCCUGGCUGCCAUUCCACCACUCCUAGCCCAGAGGUAGAGGCUUCUGGGCUGCUGUUCCACC